rnacentral:sRNA from 1 species
UUGUAAUGUGUUGAUAAUUCGAUAUAUCGAUACGUCGUUUUGAA